UGGCUAAACACUCAUUGAAGGGCAGCACCACUGUGGGGGUGGGACCCUGGUUUUCCCCACCAAGAUCAAAGCUUCCUUGUCUACUACUGGCCUUGGACCACCUUCCUGAAACUGAGCAGAAUCUUACAGUGAAAUGGUGUCUUUGCACUGAAAUGAGCCUAACUUCAGAUGCAAUGAGGCAACCUUUAUGACGGGCAUCAAGGACGGUGACUCAUGCCUGCUACACAUAUGAUGAUGAAGUCCUUUUCUCUAGGAGGUAGAACUCUGGGCUUGUUUGUAAGUUGGAUGCUGGAAAAGUGAGAAGCUUGUCUUAGCUAGGGAAUUGGGGGGGGUGUACAGACUUGAAUGUGGCAGGGGCAGAGUGUGACCAGAAGAAACGUGUAUCAGUGGAUACUGUUUGGCCUCUCAUCCCUGGAAGCGAGUAAGCAGACCAUGGUCAGUGUCUCAGCAUAAGGUAAAUUGCCAUGGAUGUGGGCUUUCUGAAGCGAAUUUUCUUUUAAAAGGAAGAGAUGGCUCCGAGCGUGGGCAGCCAGGCCCUCUUGCUGGGAUCACUGUGUCUCCUACCUCACAAUGUGUCUUUACUUUUACAUCUACGCCUAAGAGACUCGCCUACGUUGGCACUUGCUGGGUCGGUCACUGGCAAAUUACUCCUCGGUGGAGAACUGUGAUACACGUGGUCUGAUACAGGGGAACCUGAAAUAAAUUGUGCUAAGCCUCAUACUGAGUGACAAAAUGAAGAAAGAGAACACACGCACGCACACACACACACACACACACACACACACACACACACACACACACACACUCACCCUCAGAGUUUUCUAGCCAAGAAGUCCCUGGUCCAUUUCCCCCAAGCAAUCCACAGUUUAUUCUUUGCUUUUCCUUUUGGAAUUUCUGAGUCAGAGUCUCAUGUGUAGCUCCUGCCUCAGCCUCCUGUGCACUGGCUUACAGGCCUGCACCAUCAUGCUUAGCUCUCAUGGCCUGUUCAUUGUUUCAUGAAUGCGUACAUGUUCAUGUUCACAUCACACACAGGACAGAGGUUGACGUCAGGUGUCUCUCCAUCUUAGCUGCUCUCCACCUCACGUGUUUGAGAUACGGUUUCUCAUUCAGUGUGGGACUUGUUGAUUCAUCUAGACCAGUGGCCCUCAACCUUCCUAAUGCUACGACUCUUUAAUACAGUUCCUCAUGUUGUGAUGCC